GGGCUCGCGCGCGUUCGAGCUGCGGUCGAAGGCGGGCGGGCUCGUCCAGGGGCGCACGGCGGCUGGGCUGAGCUGGCCGCGAACCGGAGCCGAGGGCUCUUUGGCCGCCUAAAAAUGGACGCUCGGGCUGGCUUCGCGGCAUCCUCUCUGCGCCUUCGCGUGACAAGAGAGGAGAGAGGACCCUGAAACACACGCCACCUAUCUUUGUGGCGAGGGAUAAUUGAAGAGCACCAAACGUGAGCAUCAUGUGGAAACGUGAUCGCCAAGUUUCUCUCUGGGAAAGGAAGGAUCUGGGAUAGAUUAUACCUUGAAGUCUCCGCAAACGCUUUAGUGGAAGAAA